rnacentral:rRNA from 1 species
ACCCAAUAGAUACCCUGGUAGUCCACGCCCUAAACGAUGGAUACUAGACGUAAGAGGUAUCGACCCCUCUUGUGUCGCAGCUAAACGCACUAAGUAUCCCGCCUGGGGAGUACGGCUGCAAGGUUGAAACUCAAAUGAAUUGACGGGGACCCGCACAAGCGGUGGAGCAUGUGGAUUAAUUCGAUACUAACCGAAGAACCUUACCCAGGUUUGACAUUGAUGGUAAGCCCAAGAGAUUGGGCCCUCCCCACAAGGGGACCUGAAAACAGAUGUUGCAUGGCUGUCGUCAGCUCGUGCCGUGAGGUGUGCGGUUAAGUCCGUAACCGAGCGCAACCCUCGUCCUAUGUUGCCAGCGGGAAAGCCGGGAACUCGUAGGAGACCGCCGGUGUAAGCCGGAGGAAGGUGGGGAUGAUGUCAAGUCAGCAUGGCUCUUACGCCUGGGGCUUCACACAUGCUACAAUGGACGAACAAAGGGCAGCAAUACCGCGAGGUGAGCUAAUCCCAAAAUAGUCCCCAGUUCAGAUUGCAGUCUGC